rnacentral:tmRNA from 1 species
CGCAAACGACGAAAACUACGCUUUAGCCGCUUAAUCCGGCUAAACUCCACACCGGUGGGCCUCAACGCCGGGUCUGGCAACAGACAGUGGAGUCAUUAACGAGGAUCGCGUUUUGCAGGGUUACUUUGCAGAGCGCUAAAAAAUAGGUAACUCGCCUGUCAUCAGCCUGCCGGUUGGCGGAUGCCAGGUCAAAUUAAAUAACAUGGCUAAGUAUGUAGAACUGUCUGUAGAGGACUUGCGGACGCGGGUUCAAUUCCCG